rnacentral:rRNA from 1 species
CGGUGUGCCUCAGACAUGCAAGUCGAACGAUUAAGACUUCCUUCGGGAAGUGUAUAAAGUGGCGCACGGGUGAGUAACACGUAAGUAAUCUACCCUCGAGUGGGGAAUAACGUUCGGAAACGAACGCUAAUACCGCAUAACGCAGCGGCACCGCAAGGUGACAGUUGUUAAAGGAGUAAUUCGCUUGAGGAGGAGCUUGCGGCAGAUUAGCUAGUUGGUAAGGUAACGGCUUACCAAGGCUACGAUCUGUAUCCGGUCUAAGAGGACGGUCGGACACACUGACACUGAAUAACGGGUCAGACUCCUACGGGAGG